AUACUUACCUGGACGGGGUCUAUGGGCGAUCAAGAAGGCUCAUGGCCUAGACCCGCGCUCCCAUUGCACCUGGGGAGUGCGCUGCCUACCAUCUCCCAAGUGGGAGAGUGGACGUCAUAAUUUGUGGUAGAGGGGGUACGCGCACGCGCGGCCCCUG
rnacentral:snRNA from 1 species